rnacentral:rRNA from 1 species
UGCGUCUGAUUAGCCAGUUGGCGGGGUAACGGCCCACCAAAGCGACGAUCAGUAGGGGUUCUGAGAGGAAGGUCCCCCACAUUGGAACUGAGACACGGUCCAAACUCCUACGGGAGGCAGCAGUGAGGAAUAUUGGUCAAUGGGCGGGAGCCUGAACCAGCCAAGUAGCGUGCAGGAAGACGGCCCUAUGGGUUGUAAACUGCUUUUAUGCGGGGAUAAAGUGAGGGACGUGUCCUUCAUUGCAGGUACCGCAUGAAUAAGGACCGGCUAAUUCCGUGCCAGCAGCCGCGGUAAUACGGAAGGUCCGGGCGUUAUCCGGAUUUAUUGGGUUUAAAGGGAGCGUAGGCCGGGGAUUAAGUGUGUUGUGAAAUGUAGGCGCCCAACGUCUGACUUGCAGCGCAUACUGGUUCCCUUGAGUACGCGCAACGCCGGCGGAAUUCGUCGUGUAGCGGUGAAAUGCUUAGAUAUGACGAAGAACCCCGAUUGCGAAGGCAGCCGGCGGGAGCGCAACUGACGCUGAAGCUCGAAGGUGCGGGUAUCGAACAGGAUU